UACAGAGGUGGCAAGCGUUGUUCGGAAUUACUGGGCGUAAAGGGCGCGUAGGCGGUUCGUUAAGCCCUGUGUGAAAUCCCCCCGGCUCAACUGGGGAACUGCACAGGAAACUAGCGGGCUUGAGUUCGGGAGAGGGAAGCGGAAUUCCCAGUGUAGAGGUGAAAUUCGUAGAUAUUGGGAAGAACACCGGUGGCGAAGGCGGCGACCUGGUCCAUUACUGACGCUGAGGCGCGACAGCGUGGGGAGCAAACAGG
rnacentral:rRNA from 1 species